UACACACAUCUAUUUUGAUUUAAAUCGUAUCAUUGAUUAUUCAUCUAUAACUUAGACUUUUGAAAUAGUUUAUUAUACCCCCCGCAACAAGUUGUGGGGGGGGGGGUAUACUGGAAUCGGGUUGUCCGUCUGUCUGUCCGUCCGUCCGUCUGUUGACGCAAUGGUUUCCGGGCUCUAAAGCAUUAUCCUUUCCACCUACCGUCACCAUAUCAUAUAUAUGGACUACCCAUGGGAUGAAGAUGUUCCCUAUCGAUUUUGGGGUCAAAAGUCACGCGCACUGGACAUCAAAGUAGCAAUAUGGUUUCCAUUUAAAUUCUUUAACGGCUUUUUUCAUCGCAUGGAGAUGCUGUGUUCCUAGAUACCUUUUGGAUCAUAAUAUUGAAGUUUUACCUAUUUCCAACACCCUUUAGGAGAUUGGGGUAAGCGGGGGGUAUUCUUAGUGAGCAUUGCUCACAGUACCUCUUGUUUUAACAGGGUUUUUUUUUUUUUUACAAUAACUAUCGGAAAAGACUAACAAAAUUUAUGUUCCUAUCAUGCAUAAAUCUAAAUAAAUCAUUGAUUUUGCAAAAUCUGAUGACAUCAUAGGAGGGUGGAAUUACUUUAAGUUAUGUUUAGUGCUGUGUGUAUAUAAACUCAUAUAAUUAUAUCUUCCCUCUUGGCUCUUCCAGGGGGAGACAUAUUGUAUUUGUACUUUCUGUCCGUCCUUCCUUCUGUCACAAAAUCUUGUGAACGCUUCUCCACCUAUAUGGCUUAUCAGAUAGACUUGAAACUUUGUACAAUGCUUCAUUGUCAUUUGCAGAUGUGAAUAUUGUUGGGACGGGAGGAUCCAAUUGUUUUCCUAAGAGUUAUAGUGGAUCUAAGAGGGGUGGAAGAUGUAAAAUAGCUUAUGAACUCUUCUCCUCCCAUAUGGCUUAUUGGAUAGACUUGAAACUUUGUACAAUGCUUAAUUGUCAUUUGUAGAUGUGCAUAUUGUCAGAAUGGGAGGAUCCAAAGUUUUUCCUAAAAGAUAUAGUGGAUCUAAAAGGGGUGGGGGAUGUUAAAAUACCUUGUGAACACUUCUCCUAUAUGGCUUAUCUGAUAGACUUGAGAAUUUGUACAAUGCUUCAAUACCAUUUGUAGAUGUGCAAGUUGUAGGGACAGGAGGAUCCAAUUGCUAUCCUUAAAGUUAAAGUGGAUCUGAGGGGUGUAGGGUAUAAAAUAGUUUGUGAACGCUUCUCCUCCUAUAUGGCUUAUCAGAGUUCAUGUCUAUCUUCCUGCCCAUGCUUUCUCCUCCAUACUAUUCAAUACAUUAAGGGGGAUGUUUCCUAUAUUUUACGAAUUAAUUGGUUGAUUGACAACAAACUUGGUACACUUGUACAGCAUAUAUAAGGAGUAGAUGACCCCUAUUGAUUCUUAGGUCACAUGGUCAGUCCACCCUUGACAUAGGAAGGUAUUGUCUACUCAAUAUUUUGAAUUGGUGAUACUACUAUCAAUUAAAUGAGGCACGGGUAUAACCCUUUCAAUGUUGCAACUUGGGGGGCAUAUGUGUUUUAGAAACAUCUCUUGUGUUGUAUUAUAUGAAUUACAGGUUUUAGUGUGCUCAGUUUAGAGAAUAGCAUAAAAGUAUUUGAUAAUUAAAUAUCUUGCAGAUUGGCAGUUUACUCCAUGCACCGACAGGAAUGAUAAACUGUGAUAUUCGUAAAUGGAACUGGGACAUGUUCUAAAUAUACUCAGAUACAGAAUGAUGUGCAGCAAGGCUCGUCAUGGAUUUUACCAAAUACAGAACACUGCAAGGCUUGCAAAAUGAAGACCUCAGUAAUUUUUUUUCUAAAUUAUCCACUAAUGGCAGCUCACUACCUGCCCCUAGUGAUGUUAAAAGAGGCCGUUGUUCUCAUUUGUUCCAAAACAGGAAUGGCAUAUGAGGAGGCCAACAGAAGAUACACCUCCACUGAGUGUGCACUCACAAAACGAAUAAAUUAUUAUUAUUUCUUUUGUUUGUAAUUGUAUAUUGUCAACAAGGUCAAAGGCACUUGAUCCGAUGCCAAACUUUUGCAUUUCUUUUGCUUUGUGGUAAAUUUUCUUCAGCAACAUUAACAUUGUUUAAAUUGUUUUCUUUGGAGAGUAUACAUGUACACAUGGAUCAUUUGUAUAUUAGAAUUAUAGCAUUGUUUAAUUCAACUCAUUCUUAUCAUAGAGAGGUUAAUAUAUACUGCAGGCAACGACUUGUAAAGGGUAUACUGUUUUAACUCACGUGCAAGGCAGUAUUAUGAAACUCUGUAGUUGAUAAGGACAUAUAUCACAUAUCGAUAUGCAUAUUUACAGGAAACUCUGAUGUAUUUUAAAUCUGAACGUUAAUUUAAAAGUGGGGAGAAAUAGCAUUGGAUGAAAAAAGACAUAUGAAGAAAAUUAUUCCAUACGUAAAUACUUUUUAGUUCACCUGAGCUGAAAGCUCAAGUGAGCUUUUCUGAUCGCCUGUUGCUCAUUGUCUGUCCGUGAUUAAACAUUUUAUAUUUUCUCCAGAAGCACUGGGCCAGUAAUAACUAAACUUAGCCAAAAGUAUCCUUGGGUAAAGGGCUUUCGAGUUUGUUCAAAUGAAGGGCCAUGCCCUCUUCAAAGGGGAGAUGACCACAAAAAUAGGGUGGGUCAUUUAAUUUUUUUUUUAUCAAGAACCACUGGACCAGAAGAGCUGAAAUGUACAUGAAAGCUUCCUGACAUAGUACAGAUUCAAGUUUAUUGAAAUCAUGGUCUCUAGGGGUUGUAUGGGGCCACAAUAGAGAAUCAAAGUUUUACAUACAAUUAUUUAGGAAAAAUCUUUUAAUAUGAGCCAAGGUGGCUCAGGUGAGCGAUGUGGCCCAUGGGCCUCUUGUUCAACAUAUAGAAUAAAUAGUUAUGUUGUAUUUCCCAUGGAACAUUGAACCGUUUAAUGCGUUUACCAAUUAAUCACUGAAAGAAAGAUAAAAUUGUUGUUUCAUAUGUUUUAUGAAAACUUAAAGAUGUUUCAUUUCUUUUCAUGAAAGACCCCUUAAUUACCCAGUAAUAUAUAAUCAAUUCUGAACAGAUUAUGUAAAUUUGAUUUAUAUUAAGGAUGUUUGAUCUGAUUACCCAUCAUUAUCAAUCUGUCUAAUAUAGCCAUCAUGUGUUACUAUUGCUACGCAAUCUUGGAGCAUGAGGUAGAAUGCGAGCCAGUUCUUUCAUAAGUACAUGUAUCUGGAAAAUAUUUCAAUGUCAAAGGUUACAACAAUGUGAUAAUGUAAUCAUUGUAUGUCUAAGGUCUUGAUAAUAAAACUGUUAUCUGUUCAA